CAACAUCAGAUGGAGGGUUCAAAUUGCACACCUCGUCCACUUAGCAAGAGCUAACGACUGUUCUUGGUCAGUCGUUCUGUUCAGCAUAGCAGUGAGGUGUGAGAUACUUCUGUUGAAAUUGAAAUAUGUUGUCUUCAACUGUUCGAACAGCUCUUUCCGUAAGCAGGCGGAUAUGUGUUCGUCACAUCAGACUUUCAGCCUCAAUAUGCAAUUCAGGAAUUGAUGGGAAAUUUGAAGCUGCGAUACAAAAAUUGGGUACACUGACAGAAGACCCCAGAUAACAGUGCGAAACUGAAGAUUUAUGGUUUGUUAAGCAGGCAACUUUGGGAGAACACAACAGAUAAACCUGGUGCUUUCAACUUUGUUGCACAAGCAAAAUGGGCAGCGUGGAACGACUUGGGAGAAAUGACACAGGAUGAAGCCAAAGCAAGCGUAUUUGAUAUGUGGAUGAUCUUGCUCAAAAGCAUAAAACCGUGUCAUAUUUCCUCAUUUUUAUUUGUUACAAUCUAAGUUUACCUUAUUAAAUAUUGCAACUUCUGUUUGACUGUGA